GGUACAAAAAAAUCACCAGAAAUUCCUAGGGGGAGACAGCUUGCAGAAGAGAGAUAGCAUGUAUUUAAAGGAUGAUGCUGCAUCAGUACUGGCAGGAUUACCUGAUAGAGGGGGAGACAUCUCAAAGGUCUGUACAUUCAUAGGGUACAAGAGCAACAAGUAAACUUGUGACCCCUGAGGUGAAAUAAGGAAGAAAAAAUGCAGAAUGUUUGUCCAAACUUAUGACUUUCAAAGGAUGUACACAGAUGACUACCAAAAUAAUAAAUAUGACCAAAAACCAAAUAAAACUGAAAGAACAACUAAA